AUCACGUUUGAUAUUUUUUCCUAUUUUGAAUCGAUUUUACUUAUGUUUUGGCUAUUAAAAUAUGUACAAAUCAUGUAUUUUAAAUCCGAAGAACCGAUUUCAUUUAUGUUUUAGUUACAAAAUAAAUACAAAUCAGGUAUUUUUAAACCGAAGAACCGAUUGAGACCCGAACCCAAAAGUACAAUGGGUUAUACCGGUUCUUUGAAGAUUUACCAACUCCGACCCGAACCCGAUAGAACCCGAACCGGUCCCGAACCGAACUUUUAUAUAACCCGAAUGGGGUUGAUUUUGAUAAACCCAAAAAACCAAAAACCGAAACCCGAUUGGGAUCCCGAAUGCCCAUGCCUACACAAAAUAGUUUAGUUUUUAUUUUUAUUUUCUUUUGUUUCUUUUGCUUUCUUCUCCAUACGGAGAAAUCAGAGUAGUCUCAGAUUCAAUCCGCUUAGCUUCCUCAAAUUCUCAGAUUUGAUCUCUAGCCACCGUCGAAUGAAGCCUCACCACCACACUCCUUUUGACACCUUCGCUCGUUACCACCACCACCAGCAGCUCAUCAGCACCAUCCGCCAUCUCUCUCUCUCUCUCUGUGCUGUGUUUAUUUCAGAGCUCCCUGCAGCACGCUGCAAUCUGGUUCAGUUAAAGUCUCUUUUCUUAGACAACAAUCAAGUGAAACAUGUAGAGCAAUUGAAACGUGGUUUUGCAGAUAUCGCUGACGACGUCUACGAGAUUCUCCAUGGAAGGGUAUGGGCAGGUCACAAUAUAUUGAGGUUUGAUAUACCAAGGAUAAGAGAAGCGUUUGCAGAUUGCAGAGAUUGGACGUGAUCCACCAGAGCCAAAAGGCACCAUUGACUCGUUGGUGUUGCUUACUCAAAAGUUUGGGAGGAGAGCUGGUGAUAUGAACUUGGUUUUAUUCUGCAACCUCAAAGAACAAGCUUGUGAUUGUGAUGUUGUUUGUAACAUAACAAUGGUGUAAAUGUAUGUAGAUGGUAUUGCUGCACAUUGAAGACUGUCCUGAUAAAGAGCCUCUUGGCCAUGGGUUCUAUGCAGGCUCCACUAUGGCCAGAUUUCAAUCACCAAGUUUAUCUGUUGUAUUUUGCAAUGAGUUCAUGUAUUGAUUUUGUGUGUUUUGAAUCUUUAAUGGAAAAGCAUAUGAUAUUCUUAUGA